GUUAUUAGGGAAGAACAUAUGUGGAGUUUGAUCCUGGCUCAGGAUGAACGCUGGCGGCGUGCCUAAUACAUGCAAGUCGAGCGAACAGAUAAGGAGCUUGCUCCUUUGACGUUAGCGGCGGACGGGUGAGUAACACGUGGGUAACCUACCUAUAAGACUGGAAUAACUGCGGGAAACCGGGGCUAAUGCCGGAUAACAUGUUGAACCGCAUGGUUCUACAGUGAAAGACGGUCUUGCUGUCACUUAUAGAUGGACCCGCGCCGUAUAAGCUAGUUGGUGGGGUAACGGCCUACCAUGGCGACGAUACGUAGCCGACCUGAGAGGGUGAUCGGCCACACUGGAACUGAGACACGGUCCAGACUCCUACGGGAGGCAGCAGUAGGGAAUCUUCCGCAAUGGGCGAAAGCCUGACGGAGCAACGCCGCGUGAGUGAUGAAGGUCUUCGGAUCGUAAAGCUCUGUUGUUAGGGAAGAACAAUUGUGUAAGUAACUGUGCACAUCUUGACGGUACCUAACCAGAAAGCCACGGCUAACUACGUGCCAGCAGCCGCGGUAAUACGUAGGUGGCAAGCGUUAUCCGGAAUUAUUGGGCCUAAAGCGCGCGUAGGCGGAUUUUUAAGUCUGAUGUGAAAGCCCACGGCUCAACCGUGGAGGGUCAUUGGAAACUGGAAAACUUGAGUGCAGAAGAGGAAAGUGGAAUUCCAUGUGUAGCGGUGAAAUG
rnacentral:rRNA from 1 species